GAUGAACGCUAGCUACAGGCUUAACACAUGCAAGUCGAGGGGAAACGGCAUUUAGUGCUUGCACCGAAUGGACGUCGACCGGCGCACGGGUGGGUAACGCGUAUCCAACCUUCCCAUUACUGUGGGAUAACCUGCCGAAAGGCAGACUAAUACCGCAUAGUCUUCGUUGACGGCAUCAGAUAUGAAGUAAAGAUUUAUCGGUAAUGGAUGGGGAUGCGUCUGAUUAGCUUGUUGGCGGGGUAACGGCCCACCAAGGCGACGAUCAGUAGGGGUUCUGAGAGGAAGGUCCCCCACAUUGGAACUGAGACACGGUCCAAACUCCUACGGGAGGCAGCAGUGAGGAAUAUUGGUCAAUGGACGGAAGUCUGAACCAGCCAAGUAGCGUGCAGGAUGACGGCCCUAUGGGUUGUAAACUGCUUUUGUAUGGGGAUAAAGUUAGGGACGUGUCCCUAUUUGCAGGUACCAUACGAAUAAGGACCGGCUAAUUCCGUGCCAGCAGCCGCGGUAAUACGGAAGGUCCAGGCGUUAUCCGGAUUUAUUGGGUUUAAAGGGAGCGUAGGCUGGAGAUUAAGUGUGUUGUGAAAUGUAGACGCUCAACGUCUGAAUUGCAGCGCAUACUGGUUUCCUUGAGUACGCACAACGUUGGCGGAAUUCGUCGUGUAGCGGUGAAAUGCUUAGAUAUGACGAAGAACUCCGAUUGCGAAGGCAGCUGACGGGAGCGCAACUGACGCUUAAGCUCGAAGGUGCGGGUAUCGAACAGG
rnacentral:rRNA from 1 species